AUGAACGCUGGCGGCGUGCCUAAUACAUGCAAGUCGAGCGAACGGACGAGAAGCUUGCUUCUCUGAUGUUAGCGGCGGACGGGUGAGUAACACGUGGAUAACCUACCUAUAAGACUGGGAUAACUUCGGGAAACCGGAGCUAAUACCGGAUGAUAUUUUGAACCGCAUGGUUCAAAAGUGAAAGACGGUCUUGCUGUCACUUAUAGAUGGAUCCGCGCUGCAUUAGCUAGUUGGUAAGGUAACGGCUUACCAAGGCAACGAUGCAUAGCCGACCUGAGAGGGUGAUCGGCCACACUGGAACUGAGACACGGUCCAGACUCCUACGGGAGGCAGCAGUAGGGAAUCUUCCGCAAUGGGCGAAAGCCUGACGGAGCAACGCCGCGUGAGUGAUGAAGGUCUUCGGAUCGUAAAACUCUGUUAUUAGGGAAGAACAUAUGUGUAAGUAACUGUGCACAUCUUGACGGUACCUAAUCAGAAAGCCACGGCUAACUACG
rnacentral:rRNA from 1 species